rnacentral:rRNA from 1 species
CAAUAGCGUAUAUUAAAGUUGUUGCGGUUAAAAAGCUCGUAGUUGGAUCUCGGCAGGCAGGGGGUGGUUCGCUCUUAGCGCUACUGCCCCAUUUGCCUGUGUGAUUGGCGGAGGUUUCGGGGUGCUCUUCGUUGAGUGACCCGGGGCGCCGUCAGGUUUACUUUGAAAAAAUUAGAGUGCUCAAAGCAGGCUUUUCACGCUUGAAUAUUCGUGCAUGGAAUAAUGGAAUAGGAACUCGUUUCUACUUUGUUGGUUUUCGGAAAUCGAGUUAAUGAUUAAUAGGGACAAUUGGGGGCAUUAGUAUUCAGACGACAGAGGUGAAAUUCUUGGACCGUCUGAAGACUAACUACUGCGAAAGCAUUUGCCAAGAGUGUUUUCAUUAA